rnacentral:rRNA from 1 species
CGCGUGAGGGAAGAAGCCUACUGGGUUGUAAACCUCUUUUUUCAGGGAGGAAAAAAAUGACGUGUACCUGAAGAAUAAGCAUCGGCUAACUCCGUGCCAGCAGCCGCGGUAAGACGGAGGAUGCAAGUGUUAUCCGGAAUUACUGGGCGUAAAGCGUCUGUAGGUGGUUUAAUAAGUCAACUGUUAAAUCUUGAGGCUUAACUUCAAAACAGCAGUCGAAACUAUUAGACUAGAGUAUAGUAGGGGUAAAGGGAAUUUCCAGUGGAGCGGUGAAAUGCGUANAUAUUGGAAAGAACACCGAUGGCGAAAGCACUUUACUGGGCUAUUACUAACACUCANAGACAAAAGCUAGGGUAGCAAAAGGGAUU